rnacentral:rRNA from 1 species
GAUGAACGCUGGCGACGUGCCUAAUACAUGCAAGUAGAACGCUGAAGCUUGGUGCUUGCACCGAGCGGAUGAGUUGCGAACGGGUGAGUAACGCGUAGGUAACCUGCCUCUUAGCGGGGGAUAACUAUUGGAAACGAUAGCUAAUACCGCAUAAAAGUCGAUAUCGCAUGAUAUUGAUUUGAAAGGUGCAAUUGCAUCACUAAGAGAUGGACCUGCGUUGUAUUAGCUAGUUGGUGAGGUAACGGCUCACCAAGGCGACGAUACAUAGCCGACCUGAGAGGGUGAUCGGCCACACUGGGACUGAGACACGGCCCAGACUCCUACGGGAGGCAGCAGUAGGGAAUCUUCGGCAAUAGGGGCAACCCUGACCGAGCAACGCCGCGUGAGUGAAGAAGGUUUUCGGAUCGUAAAGCUCUGUUGUAAGAGAAGAACGAGUGUGAGAGUGGAAAGUUCACACUGUGACGGUAACUUACCAGAAAGGGACGGCUAACUACGUG